rnacentral:rRNA from 1 species
AGAGUUUGAUCCUGGCUCAGGAUGAACGCUGGCGGCGUGCCUAACACAUGCAAGUCGAACGUGAAAGUCCUUCGGGAUGAGUAAAGUGGCGCACGGGUGAGUAAUGCGUAGAUAAUCUGCCUGAUGAUCUGGGAUAACAUCUCGAAAGGGGUGCUAAUACCGGAUAAGCCCACGGCGACCUUGGUCGUUGCGGGAAAAGGAGGCCUCUGAACAUGCUUCAGUAUCAGGAUGAGUCUGCGUACCAUUAGCUAGUUGGUAGGGUAAUGGCCUACCAAGGCUACGAUGGUUAGCUGGUCUGAGAGGAUGAUCAGCCACACUGGAACUGAGACACGGUCCAGACUCCUACGGGAGGCAGCAGUGGGGAAUUUUGCGCAAUGGGCGAAAGCCUGACGCAGCAACGCCGCGUGAGUGAUGAAGGCUUUCGGGUCGUAAAGCUCUGUCAAGGGGAAAGAAGUGUGCGGAGGUUAAUACCCUUUGCACUUGACGGUACCCCUAAAGGAAGCACCGGCUAACUCCGUGCCAGCAGCCGCGGUAAUACGGAGGGUGCGAGCGUUGUUCGGAAUUAUUGGGCGUAAAGCGCGUGUAGGCGGUUUGAUAAGUCUGAUGUGAAAGCCCCGGGCUCAACCUGGGAAGUGCAUUGGAAACUGUCAGACUUGAAUACGGGAGAGGGUAGUGGAAUUCCUGGUGUAGGAGUGAAAUCCGUAGAUAUCAGGAGGAACACCGGUGGCGAAGGCGGCUGCCUGGACCGAUAUUGACGCUGAGACGCGAAAGCGUGGGUAGCAAACAGGAUUAGAUACCCUGGUAGUCCACGCCGUAAACGAUGAGUACUAGGUGUUGCGGGUAUUGACCCCUGCAGUGCCGCAGCUAACGCAUUAAGUACUCCGCCUGGGAAGUACGGUCGCAAGACUAAAACUCAAAUGAAUUGACGG